GAGUUUGAUCCUGGUUCAGAACGAACGCUGGCGGCAGGCUUAACACAUGCAAGUCGAGCGCCCCGCAAGGGGAGCGGCAGACGGGUGAGUAACGCGUGGGAACGUACCUUUUGCUACGGAAUAACUCAGGGAAACUUGUGCUAAUACCGUAUGUGCCCUUCGGGGGAAAGAUUUAUCGGCAAAGGAUCGGCCCGCGUUGGAUUAGCUAGUUGGUGAGGUAAAGGCUCACCAAGGCGACGAUCCAUAGCUGGUCUGAGAGGAUGAUCAGCCACACUGGGACUGAGACACGGCCCAGACUCCUACGGGAGGCAGCAGUGGGGAAUAUUGGACAAUGGGCGCAAGCCUGAUCCAGCCAUGCCGCGUGAGUGAUGAAGGCCCUAGGGUUGUAAAGCUCUUUCACCGGUGAAGAUAAUGACGGUAACCGGAGAAGAAGCCCCGGCUAACUUCGUGCCAGCAGCCGCGGUAAUACGAAGGGGGCUAGCGUUGUUCGGAUUUACUGGGCGUAAAGCGCACGUAGGCGGACUUUUAAGUCAGGGGUGAAAUCCCGGGGCUCAACCCCGGAACUGCCUUUGAUACUGGAAGUCUUGAGUAUGGUAGAGGUGAGUGGAAUUCCGAGUGUAGAGGUGAAAUUCGUAGAUAUUCGGAGGAACACCAGUGGCGAAGGCGGCUCACUGGACCAUUACUGACGCUGAGGUGCGAAAGCGUGGGGAGCAAAACAGGAUUAGAUACCC
rnacentral:rRNA from 1 species